rnacentral:tRNA from 1 species
AGCCCCGUCCCUAUAAGUCAAUCAUGCGGGGCUCUGGACCCCGCGACCCAGGUUCGAAUCCUGGCCGGGCUA